GAGGAGACGAGAAGCAAAACAGCGUUAUCAGCCAUAGAAUAGAUAGGGCGGGGAGAAGUGAACAAGUGGUGUCGUGACGUAAAAUUAACCCUUCCUGCUACACGAGGUUUAAUGGCUCCUUUUAAUUAGUGGUUUUAUUCAAAAUAAGGGAAAUUCACAAAGUAUUUUAAUAUACAUACAACUUGUGCAAAUCUAAUCUCAGCCGAAUUUUAUGUAUUUCAGAAAUUAACAACAAUGAACAACACACUUUUAAAAUAUGCAAAAAUGGUACCUCUGCGCUGUGUGCGUCAGUACUUCCUGUCUUCAUAACUGUCAGUGUGAGCUGCCGAGGCGCCACAAAUCAGAUGAUGGAGUGUCUGUGGCGACGCCUCCACAUCCUGCUGCAGGUCUCCUUCUGGGUCUGUUUCGUCACAGGUUCAAAUGUAGAAUGGAGACGGGUUGGGGAAAAGAUAGUAAUAACUUGCUCCACUGAUAAACCAACUCAAAGUGCAGUGUAUCUUUACAAGAGCUACCACCAAAGGCAGUCGGUGUUCUAUCUCCUUAAAGAGGGGGUUCCGAGUCGCACGGUAGCCUACAAGGACAAGGUUAAAGUUACAGGCUUCAACAAGCUGAGAGCCACAAUUAGCAACCUAACCGUAAAUGACACUGGAGUUUUCUGGUGCCAGUACUUGAGACAUGAUGGACCAACAAACCAUGAAACUGAAAACAAAGAGGGUGAAACAUUGUUGGUGGUCAAUGGUAAGUAUAUAUUUAUUUUGAUCUCUGAAAUUCAUUUUGUGAUUUGGUCAAAUAUUUUAGGGGUUGGCAAAGUAUUUACACUAAAUUUCCCAUCCUCCAUUUUUCAAUGUUGUCACAAAGUGGAUUAUUGUUGUUCAUUUAACUCAGGGCCGGAGAAGGUGUGCCCCACACAUGGGCCAUACGCAACCACCAGCACAGAGGAGUCCAGUCAGACCUUGUGGAUCGUGGGUGCUGUCACCGUCUGCUCACUGGUUCUGCUGGUGCUCAUUAUCCUGCUCAUCUCGGUGAGUGACACAGUAGGAACACAGAGACCAGGGUCGGAUUCGUGGAAGUUACAGUUACACAAUUAGCAAGUCGAAGACGGACUAAAUACUCGACUAGAGCCAUGAGUCACAGCUUGUUUUUCUUCCCCACGGGCUUGUAUCUCAUCUCUCCACCUCCCCCUCUCUCUCUUUCUUUCUUUGUUUCCUCUCUGAUUCUGUCUGGUCCUCACAGGUGAAGAGGUGCUGUGUACACAAUGGAAAGUACAGGUGUCAUCCCCAGUCUGCCGUUGGACCCCCAGCACAUCGCUCCGAUUCUGUUUAUGAGCAGAUGAGGCCCCAGAGGGCCACCUCUAUGUCUCCACAGAGGGCCACCUCUAUGUCUCCACAGAGGGCCACCUCUAUGUCUCACUCCUCUGCCCGGGUACUCAUCAACCCUACCUACUAGCUUCACCCAAAUAACCCACAUCCUACCACCCCCCUUCAGUAAGAAUCAACACUGGCACGCCAGCUUCAUAUUUUCAUUUGACAAGUGCACUGAAAUUCAUUAGCCUGUGUGUCCAAACUUGCUUGCUUGAAAAAUUAAACCGGUUUGAAUUUAUUUAAUUUAUGUUUUGAAUUAUGUUUAAAUCCAAUGUGUGAAGCAUUUUGAUGUAUCAUUCACUCGUGUAACACAAACAUUUUGGUCAUUGAGAUCGAAUGCAGCAUCAGAUUGUGAAAUGUUCGUGUAAGACCGUAGUGAUACAUGGAGCAAAGGGUCAUGUAGUUAUUAACCUUUCAUAGGAAUGGAUAUACUCAGCCAAUUCUCCUUUGGCUGUCUUUCCAGAAACUGCUUUCUUUUUAUACAGGGUAGAUCAAACAAAACUAACAUACAGUACUUCAUCUGUGUGUACCUGUAACAUAUAUGAGGUAGUUGUAAGAGGUUUGCCACUUUAUAAUACAAAACUGAUUUUAAUAUGCACAAAAUGUAAUAUGAUCAGAUGUAUAUAACUGUUAUGCACCACAUUAUAUUUGUGCGAAUUGAAUAUCCACCUUUGUGGUUUUUUAAUUGUCAUAUGAUUGUAUAGAUUAAUUUCAAUAUGCCUGUCAUAUACACAGUGUAUGUUGCAAUUGUUAUAUAUGUAGCAUGGAUUAUGUAGCAUUGAAUAAAAGUGUUUAACAAGUAAAUUAUGUGGCGAUU
ensembl:lncRNA